UUCCCCAUCCAGUUUGAUUACUUAUGGAGCAGGAUGAUAAGGGCUCAAUAUGGGGCGUAGAAUCAGAGAUUCAAGAUCCGGAUUGAUCGCGGUUGCUCCUUCAUUUGGAAGGAGAUUUAUGCUCACACCCUAACAAUAUUAGCCUAGAUCGGAUGAUUGAUUGGAAACGAAACAUCGGUUGAUGUGAGUCAGGAUAUCUGAAUUUCAAACCUACCCCUCUUUCAUUGGCCGACCUAUGUCAGCAUGGAGGUAGAUGAUCAUCUGUGGAUCUAUAACUUGUUCAUUACUGACGG
rnacentral:lncRNA from 1 species